ACAAAGGUUGCAAUCAAGGGAAGGCUGACUUUCUAAGUCACCAUAGAAAUUUCUACAAAUCACAUCUCCUAAUCUACUUUUACUCAGAUGUUUUACAGUAACUAAGGCUUUAUUCAUCCUUCCAAAAAAACAAGAUACUAAGAUUUCAAAACCACAGUGGUUAUUAAGCACAAAGAGUCACAGUUCUACUUCAAGCAUGGUGCUAACCAGUUGCUGGUAAUGACAGCCCUGUCUCAAACCACACCAGUCAUGAAGUUACCAACAGAAGACUUUCUCCUUCAGUACUACUUCCUACCACGAAGCUGACGGAUGUUCCAAUUUAGACUGCAACAUGAAAUUUUCCAGGGCCUUGGCCUACCCGCUUACCAUGCACUGAAAAUUAUUUUCACAAUUCAACUGUAGCUACAAGUGUCCCAUCCCCUGGAAUAUUUAUUCUCUUCAGUUAUUCCUCUGACCAUAAAGUAUUGAAAUGUAUUUAUAAAUAUAUUUCCUAAUUGCCUGAGCAAUGGGAUGGUAAGCAUUGAAGAACCGCAAGGUGUGCAGGCUUUGUUGAGAUAAAUGCCUCAGAAAAACAUGGCACUUUCCAAUUCCACCUGUUGUAACAGUUUAUUCAACACAGAAAGAAGCUGAAGCUUUUAGAGUGAAAAUAUGGCCAAAUUGAAAAGAAAAACAAUACAUAUAUAUAUAUAUAUAUACACACAACAACCAUAUUACACGACACCAAAGAGCUACGAGCCACACAGCUUUAUUAAGAGCACCCCAGUAAAAACAUGAACUCUACUGCUCAACAUGGAUGGAGCUGCAAUAGUCGAGCUGCGUGUCCCGCACUGCAAACAAACUGAAGGACGUAGCCAGCUGAGCCAAAUGAAAGGAAGCUGUAGAUACUAACAGGGAGAUAUUAGAAACACUUCUACUGUUACAUCACAGAAGUUUUAGGAACUCUAUCCACCAGAGUCAUCACACCCACAGAUCUUUGGUAACAUCUUAAUUUUUCCACCAUCAGCACCAAGACAAGCUCUAAAGGAAAGACACCAUUGUGAAUUAAGGCAAAUUAUCAGGAGAGGUUAGCAUGAGAGAACAAUUCAAAGGCACCAUCAUUUAUCACUUUGGCAGUUGGAACGAAUCUGCCAAGCAGCAGACAAGAAUCCCGUUCUCACUUUCAUCCUGGGUGUUGCAUAAGGCUAUAGCUCAGCCCUCGGACAACACAGCAACCAGCUCUUCGUCCUCCACCUCGUGCUAUGAGCCUUUUCUAGAAGAGGCUUGACACAAGAGACUUGGCCAUCAGCGAGGCCAAGCAAAAAGCUCCCCUGUCUAGUAAAAAAAAAUAAAUGAUAAAGUUA